CCCAAGGGAUUCAGCAGUGAUUAAUAUUAGAUAAUAAACGAAAGUUUGAUCUAGUUAAGGUUUUUAGAGCCGGCCAACCUCGUGCCAGCCGCCGCGGUUAUACGAGCGACCCAAAUUAAUGAGAUAACGGCGUAAAGAGUGUAUAAGAAAAACCUUGUACUUAUUAAAGUUAAAAUGGUGCUUAACUGUUAUACGUACCCGCACAAAUGAAAAACAAUUAAAAAAGAAACUUUAUAAAAACAAGGCCUCUGAAAACACGAUAGCUAAAAAACAAACUGGGAUUAGAUACCCCACUAUGUUUAGCCCUNAACUUAGGUGUUUAAUUACCUGAACACCCGCCAGAGAACUACAAGCGCCAGCUUUUAAACCCAAAAGGACUUGGCGGUGCCUUUNGACCCCCCUGGGNGGGAGCCUGUUCUAGAACCGAUAAUCCCCGUUUAACCUCACCACCCCUUGCUAUUUCAGCCUAUAUACCGCCGUCGUCAGCUUGCCCCAUGAGGGGUAAACAGCAAGCACAAAGAAUGAGACCUUCAAAACGUCAGGUCGAGGUGUAGCUUACGAGGUGGGAAGAAAUGUGCUACAUUUUCUACUAAGAUAAACAGAUGAGUAAUGAAAUUAAAUUUGAAGUUGGAUUUAGCAGUAAGAUAUAAAUAGUAAAUUAAUCUGAAAAUGGCUCUGAGGCGCGCACACACCGCCCGUCACUCUCCUCACCAAAAUAAUUAAAUAUAUAAUAAAAGAGCUAAACAAGAGGAGGCAAGUCGUAACAUGGUAAGCGUACUGGAAAGUGCGCUUGGAAU
rnacentral:rRNA from 1 species